UACGAAGGGGGCUAGCGUUGCUCGGAAUCAUUGGGCGUAAAGCGCACGUAGGCGGCUUUUCAAGUCGGAUGUGAAAUCCCUCGGCUUAACCAAGGAAGUGCAUCCGAAACUGGAGAGCUUGAGUACUUAAGAGGAUCGCGGAAUUCCCGGUGUAGAGGUGAAAUUCGUAGAUAUCGGGAGGAACACCAGUGGCGAAGGCGGCGAUCUGGGAAGAUACUGACGCUGAGGUGCGAAAGCGUGGGGAGCAAACAGG
rnacentral:rRNA from 1 species